UCAUAGUCUGACCUUGUUUUAAUCUGCCAUUUUUCUCAGGUGGAGAAAAGCAAAGAGUAGCAAUUGCUCGGACAAUUCUGAAAAAUCCUCGCAUUAUAUUGUAUGAUGAAGCUACGUCUUCAUUGGAUUCCAUCACAGAAGAGAAUAUUCUCAAAGCAACGCGGGACUUGAUUGAGCAUCGUACGUCUGUGUUUAUUGCUCAUCGGCUCACUACAAUUGUUGAUGCAGAUCAAAUUCUGGUUCUGGAUAAGGGUAAAAUAGCAGAACGAGGAACCCAUUCGAGUCUCUUGAAUAAUGUCAACAGUCUUUAUUCUGAACUGUGGCACACACAAAAUAUCAGGGUGCACAACAAAAACUCCAGUCGUCAAGAAGGAAAGAGAGUAAUGUCUUCCAAGGAAGAAGAAAGACGAAAAUUAUCAGAAGAGAUUCUGAACAGCGUUAAAGGUUGUGGAAACUGCUCUUGUUGAAAAUCUUUUAUCUUGUAUUGGGAGUAAAUCUAUGCUGGCAUUUUGCACUGGAAGCGUUAUUAGGUAACAAUGUAUAAAUAGACCAUUUUGAACGGCAAAGCUGAGGAAACCUUUUCAUGAUGGAUUUUAUUUUUUGUUUUAACCAAACUGGUCAAAAUAUUUUUGAUUGGUAAACCUGAUGUUGAGGGUCCCUUCAUGGAACAGCAAAUUGAAAACUGGUAUCAAAAAUGGAUCAAAUAAACAAUUCCAUUGCAGUAGGAUCCAUACAUUUCCUAUGUUUAUGUUUAAGGGAAUUUUAGUGACUAUACUGAAUUACCGGUAUACAGUGGUUGGCUAAUGCUGUAUCAGUGUUAGCAUGGGCUAAUUUUGGGAAUGGUCAUGGUAAGCUAAACUAGUGUUUGUUUUAGCCCAUGGUUGAGUAUGUUGGGGACUGUGCAGUGGGAAUGUUAUGAUCCUCAUCGGAUAAAUUGUGUAAAUAUUUAGUGUUGGAUUAUACCAUUUCUAAUUGGGGCAGUGCUUGGUUUACCCAAAUACAUAACGGAAUUAUUUUGAGAAUAAGGCACAAGUGAACUCUUUGGAACAAUGUUUACCAAUAAUGCACAUUUUGAACUUUGUUUACAGCCAUUUUAAAUUGUUCUGGAGAUAUGAUAAACAGCUGGUUGAUAAUUUAUUAGUUACUAAUUUGAGAUAACAUGCCAAUAUUUUACUGAAAAGGCUUUGUAAAAGGCUGUAACAGAAUAUGCCUCUGGUUAUCUCUCGAACUAUAUUGCCUGUACGUAUUUGUUAUCCUGUUGAUUAAACAUCAGUUCUGUAUAAA